rnacentral:rRNA from 1 species
AAUGAACGCUGGCGGCGCGCUUAACACAUGCAAGUCGAACGAGAACGUUCCUUCGGGAAUUAGUAAAGUGGCAAACGGGUGAGAAACGCGUGGGUAUCUUCCUGUUGGUGAAGGAUACCCCCGGGAAACUGGGGUUAAUCCUGCAUAAGCUCUUCGGAGGAAAGGUGGCCUCUUUGCUACCGCCGACAGAUGAACCUGCGUCUUAUUAGCUAGUUGGUGAGGUAAUGGCCCACCAAGGCGAAGAUGGGGUAGCCGGCCUGAGAGGGUGUCCGGCCACACUGGGACUGAGAUACGGCCCAGACUCCUACGGGAGGCAG